UACGUAGGUGGCAAGCGUUGUCCGGAUUUACUGGGCGUAAAGAGCGCGCAGGCGGUCGUUCAAGUCGCGUGUGAAAGCCCCCGGCUCAACUGGGGAGGGUCACGCGAUACUGAUCGACUCGAAGGCAGGAGAGGGUAGUGGAAUUCCCGGUGUAGUGGUGAAAUGCGUAGAUAUCGGGAGGAACACCAGUGUCGAAGGCGACUACCUGGCCUGUUCUUGACGCUGAGGCGCGAAAGCUAGGGGAGCAAACGGG
rnacentral:rRNA from 1 species